rfam:Salmo salar isolate Sally breed double haploid chromosome ssa16, whole genome shotgun sequence.
UGCAUUCACUACUGUAAGUCGCUCUGGAUAAGAGCUUAUGCUAAAUGACUGAAA